rnacentral:rRNA from 1 species
GACGAACGCUGGCGGCGUGCUUAACACAUGCAAGUCGAGCGAUGAAGUUUUUUCGGAAAUGGAUUAGCGGCGAACGGGUGAGGAACACGUGAAGAAUCUGCCCUCCACUUUGGGAUAACACAGGGAAACCUGUGCUAAUACCGAAUAUUGAAACAUAAGUGGCAUCACUGAGUUUUGAAAGAAUUUCGGUGGAGGAUGACUUCGCGGCCUAUCAGCUAGUUGGUGAGGUAAUGGCUCACCAAGGCAACGACGGGUAGCCGGCCUGAGAGGGCGACGGGCCACACUGGGACUGAGAACCGGCCCAGACUCCUACGGGAGGCAGCAGUGGGGAAUAUUGGGCAAUGGAGGAAACUCUGACCCAGCGACGCCGCGUGCGGGAUGAAGGCCUUCGGGUUGUAAACCGCUUUCAGUAGGGAAGAAGCGAAAGUGACGGUACCUACAAAAGAAGCACCGGCUAACUAUGUGCCAGCCGCCGCCGUAA